GUAUCUGAUCCGAGAACUGUGUGGCCUGAAUGUGUUUACAAUCCGAGGGACUUGUGUGUAUCCGAUCCUUGUUGCUUGAGUGUGUAUCCGGACUUGUUGCUUGAGUGUGUAUUAAUGGAUAGUGCUUUCAAUGGUUUAACUAAUUUCUUAUGAGAUUAACUUGUUGCCUGAGUGUGUAUCCGAUCCGAGCCUCAAGUUAAUGAAUAAAUCUACAGAGCUGAUGUUUUACUUAGCUGUCUCUGUCUACAGUAUCCCUUUCCAGGUCAGCCGCACACAAAAUCUGGAACCUGGAACAGUUCCAUCACUUUAGUUUGCAUCUGAGCCCAACCCACCAAAUUAGCUUGAUGUUAUCGCCACCCCCAAUGAAGUGGCUAUGGCUUGUAGAGAUGGGCGUGGGUCAAUGGCUGUGCACAAACUAACCAUUGAUUUUAUGCCUUGCUGCUGCCUCGAUGGAAGUAUGUGUGGCCUUUAAAAGUUGCACUCUGGUCAACUCAGCUUAGCAAGCAUGUAGACUAUUGUAGAGCUUGUGUCCACUUGUGAAGUGCCUGUGUACACAAAUGGCUUGCUGCUUCCUCUUCGAAAAUAUUCUAUGGGUCUACCAAUGGAUAACUCAGUCCUACAUGCUGUAUAGCUUGUUUUAAACCUUUUUUUUUUUUUUUAAGUGUCCUAAUUGAACAGCUCAGCAGAACUUUAAAGGAUAAUCGCAUUCAUGAUACUAUCCAAUCUGCCACAGAAUCCAAUAUCAUGCAAUAUUCACAAGUUGAUAGCACGUUCCCUCCCAGAUUG